rnacentral:tRNA from 1 species
GCGAGUGUCGCCAAGCGGUCAAGGCCCCGGAUUGUGGUUCCGGUAUACGUGGGUUCGAUUCCCAUCACUCGCCCCA